CACAACAAAGACCGGUGGAUUCUUCAUAAUCUUUUCCCUCAAAGGUAAGUUUCUUCCCCGCCACCUACUAGUAAGCUAAAUAUGCAUUUAGAUUUACCAUGGAUUUAGUGGUUUUAUUACCUAUUUAUAUGUGUAUAUAUGCUUCGUAUCAGGGCUUGAUCCAACAAUCGUACCAAAGACUUGUUAUAGAGGUGGAGGGUAAGCACGAUUUUAGUCUUACAAAAAGGAUUGGAAGACAUGAAAUAGCAAUGUGUUCUAAUCCUGAUACACAUUAAGGUAAGAUGGGAUUCAUUCAAUACAGAACUUCAUUGGGAACAUAUAAUUGUAAAGUUUAAUUUUGUUUGAUUCUCAUCUAGGAAUGAGCUGAUGUUUAAAAGCUAACCUUACUGAUCUUGUUUUUUUUUUUUUUUUUCUUUUAGGUGCAAGGAUAUGUUGUAAAACAGUUAAAAACGCUGAUCUCUAAAGCUGAAGUGAAGAGAAAAUGAAGAACAAACACAGAGAACCAAGAGAGAGUCGGC
rnacentral:lncRNA from 1 species